AAAUCGGUCGAAAAAGGUUUAUCGUGAGAAGUCAGCCGACGUCAUAGUAGUGGAAAUACUUUUCCACGAAGGAC
rfam:Enterococcus sp. 10A9_DIV0425 scaffold00001, whole genome shotgun sequence.